CUACGGGCUGCUGCAGUGGGGAAUUUUGCGCAAUGGGGGAAACCCUGACGCAGCAAUACCGCGUGAGUGAAGAAGGCCUUUGGGUCGUAAAGCUCUUUUCUUGGGGAAGAUAGUGACGGUACCCAAGGAAUAAGCGCCGGCUAACUCCGUGCCAGCAGCCGCGGUAAUACGGAGGGUGCAAGCGUUGUUCGGAUUUACUGGGCGUAAAGGGCACGUAGGCGGCACAGCAAGUUAAGGGUGAAAUCCCGGGGCUCAACUCCGGAACUGCUCUUAAAACUGCUGAGCUAGAGAUAGUCAGAGGCGGGUGGAAUUCCAGGUGUAGAGGUGAAAUUCGUAGAUAUCUGGAGGAACACCGGUGGCGAAGGCGGCCCGCUGGGGCUAUUCUGACGCUAAGGUGCGAAAGCGUGGGGAGCAAACGGGAUUAGAUCCCGCGUAGUC
rnacentral:rRNA from 1 species